UCUGCUUCAUCUUUCAAGUGGAGAUAAAGUGGUUUCCAUCAACACACCUCUGGGGGAGAAUGUCACGCUGCACUGUAACACAUCUGGAAUGGAUAUAUCAAUAAUCAAAUGGGCAAAGGAUGGGAUCCAGGUGUUUGUAUAUAGCCCAGUAUUGGAAGACAAAAAAGACAAAAUCAAAACAAGCUUCACUUCAGAAAGGAUGGGUGUUGAUCCUUCUACUACGGUGCUGCAUAUAUCCGACGUACUGGUCUCUGAUGAGGGAAUAUACACAUGUGAAGUAUUAGGUUCUCAAGCCCAAAAGACAGAAACAUGGAACUUGACCGUUACUUCAGUCUCACCAGAUCCAUCCCAAUUGAUCUACAUCAGCACUGCUGCCAUAUCAGGGACAAUCCUCAUCAUCAUCUGUAGCAUAUUAUGUAUUUACA